rnacentral:rRNA from 1 species
UACGUAGGGGGCAAGCGUUGUCCGGAUUUAUUGGGCGUAAAGAGCGUGUAGGCGGCCAGAUAGGUCCGUUGUGAAAACUCGAGGCUCAACCUCGAGACGCCGAUGGAAACCAUUUGGCUAGAGUCCGGAAGAGGAGAGUGGAAUUCCUGGUGUAGCGGUGAAAUGCGUAGAUAUCUGGAGGAAUACCGGUGGCGAAGGCGGCAUCCUGGACCGGCAUUGACGCUGAUGAGCGAAAGCCAGGGGAGCAAACGGG